rnacentral:misc_RNA from 1 species
GCCUACACCUUCUUCAUCGACUUUUUUAUCAUUUGGUUCAUCAGUUUCUGUUUUCUCACCGCCUCGUGGCACCCAAUUCUUGCGUUUAAAUUUUCGAUUCAGAACGAUGGCGUCUCAUGUUGUUGGAUAUCCUCGUAUGGGGCCCAAGAGAGAGCUUAAGUUUGCGUUGGAAUCAUUUUGGGAUGGGAAGAGCAAUUCUGAGGAUUUGGAGAAAGUGGCAGCUGAUCUUAGGUUAUCUAUUUGGAAGCAGAUGGCUGAUGCUGGCAUUAAAUAUAUUCCAAGCAACACCUUCUCGUAUUAUGACCAAGUUUUGGACACAACUGCUAUGCUAGGUGCAGUUCCACCAAGAUACGGUUGGAAUGGUGGUGAGAUUGGUUUUGAUGUCUACUUCCCAAUGGCUAGGGGAAACGCCUCUGUACCUGCCAUGGAAAUGACAAAAUGGUUUGACACCAACUACCACUAUAUUGUUCCUGAAUUAGGUCCAGAUGUUAAGUUUUCCUAUGCGUCUCACAAGGCAGUUAGUGAAUAUAAGGAAGCUAAAUCUCUCGGCAUUGACACAGUCCCUGUCCUCGUAGGUCCAGUUUCCUUCCUCUUGUUAUCAAAAGCAGCAAAAGGUGUUGAAAAGUCGUUUCCUCUUCUAUCACUGAUUG